rnacentral:rRNA from 1 species
CAAUAGCGUAUAUUAAAGUUGUUGCGGUUAAAAAGCUCGUAGUUGGAUUUCUGCCGAGGACGACCGGUCCGCCCUCUGGGUGAGUAUCUGGCUCGACCUGGGCAUCCUUCCAGAGAAUGUGUCUGCUCUUGACUGAGUGGUGCAGUAUCUGGAACUUUUACUUUGAGGAAAUUAGAGUGUUUCAAGCAGGCAUACGCCUUGAAUACAUUAGCAUGGAAUAAUAAGAUAGGACCUCGGUUCUAUUUUGUUGGUUUCUAGAGCGAAGGUAAUGAUUAAUAGGGAUAAUUGGGGGCAUUCGUAUUAACGCGUCAGAGGUGGAAUUCUUGGAUUGCGUUACGACGAACUACUGCGAAAGCAUUUGCCAAGGAUGUUUUCAUUGAUCAAGAACGAAAGUUAGGGAUCGAAGAUGAUCAGAUACCAU